rnacentral:rRNA from 1 species
UACAGAGGUCCCAAGCGUUGUUCGGAUUCAUUGGGCGUAAAGGGUGUGUAGGUGGCGCCGUAAGUCGGGUGUGAAAUUUCGGAGCUUAACUCCGAAACUGCAUUCGAUACUGCUUUGCUUGAGGACUAGAGAGGAGAUUGGAAUUCACGGUGUAGCAGUGAAAUGCGUAGAUAUCGUGAGGAAGACCAGUGGCGAAGGCGGAUCUCUGGACAGUUCCUGACGCUGAGGCGCGAAGGCCAGGGGGAGCAAAACGGGG